rnacentral:rRNA from 1 species
CAAACUUUUUCAUCGAUUAGAACUCUAAGAAAAAAUUACGCUGUUAUCCCUAGGGUAAUUUAUUCUCUUAAUCUAAAAUAUAGGAUCAUCUAUUCAUAAAUCAAUGUUUAUUUUAAAAAAAAAGUUUGUUAAAUUUUUCAAUCACCCCAACAAAAUAAAAUAACACUUUAAAUAAAAAAAUCCAAAUAAACUUAAAAUUAAUUAUAUUAAACUCCAUAGGGUCUUCUCGUCUUUAAAUAAAAUUUCAGCUUUCUGACUAAAAAAUAAAAUUUUAAACUUUAUAAAGAGACAACAACUUUCUCAUCAAAUCAUUCAUACAAGCUUCUAAUCAAGAAACAAAUUAUUAUGCUACCUUAGCACAGUCAAAAUACUGCGGCUAUUUAAUAUUCAUUGAGCAGAUCUAAUCUUAAAUUAUAAUAUUAAGAAC